rnacentral:tRNA from 1 species
GCCUCAAUAGCUCAGUUGGUAGAGCACCCGCCUUGUAAGCGGGCGGUCGCCGGUUCGAGUCCGGUUCGAGGCUCCA